rnacentral:rRNA from 1 species
GAUGAACGCUGGCUACAGGCUUAACACAUGCAAGUCGAGGGGUAACGAGAGGAAAGCUUGCUUUCCUUGUCGACGACCGGCGCACGGGUGAGUAACGCGUAUCCAACCUGCCCCCAACUAAGGAAUAACCUUGCGAAAGUAAGACUAAUACCUUAUAAUUUCCUCAGAUGUCAUCUGACGAGGAAUAAAGAUUUAUCGGUUGUGGAUGGGGAUGCGUCUGAUUAGCUUGUUGGCGGGGUAACGGCCCACCAAGGCAACGAUCAGUAGGGGUUCUGAGAGGAAGGUCCCCCACAUGGGAACUGAGACACGGUCCAAACUCCUACGGGAGGCAGCAGUGAGGAAUAUUGGUCAAUGGGCGGAAGCCUGAACCAGCCAAGUAGCGUGCAGGAUGACGGCCCUAUGGGUUGUAAACUGCUUUUAUACAGGAAUAAAGUUAGCCACGUGUGGUUAUUUGUAGGUACUGUAUGAAUAAGGACCGGCUAAUUCCGUGCCAGCCGCCGCCGUAA